rnacentral:rRNA from 1 species
UCUAGGAGCUUCCACAAUGGACGAAAGUCUGAUGGAGCGACACCGCGUGCGGGAUGAAACUCGUGAGAGCGUAAACCGCUGUCAGCAGGGAAGAAUGCCCGGAUGGUGAAUCCGGGAGUGACGGUACCUGCAGAGGAAGCACCGGCUAACUCCGUGCCAGCAGCCGCGGUAAUACGGAGGGUGCAAACGUUGCUCGGAAUUACUGGGCGUAAAGAGUGCGUAGGCGGUUUGAUCAGUCUGGCGUGAAAUCCCAUGGCUCAACCAUGGAACUGCGCUGGAAACUGUCAGACUUGAGAGCGAGAGAGGCAAGUGGAAUUCCUGGUGUAGCGGUGGAAUGUGUAGAGAUCAGGAAGAACACUCGUGGCGAAGGCGGCUUGCUGGCUCGUUUCUGACGCUGAGGCACGAAAGCCAGGGGAGCGAACGGGAUUAGAUACCCCGGUAGUCCUGGCCGUAAACGGUGGACACUGGGUGUCGGGGGUAUCGACCCCCUCGGUGCCGGAGCUAACGCGUUAAGUGUCCCGCCUGGGGAGUACGACCGCAAGGUUGAAACUCAAAGGAAUUGACGG